rnacentral:rRNA from 1 species
UUAAGCGACUAAGCGUACACGGUGGAUGCCCUGGCAGUCAGAGGCGAUGAAGGACGUGCUAAUCUGCGAUAAGCGUCGGUAAGGUGAUAUGAACCGUUAUAACCGGCGAUUUCCGAAUGGGGAAACCCAGUGUGAUUCGUCACACUAUCAUUAACUGAAUCCAUAGGUUAAUGAGGCGAACCGGGGGAACUGAAACAUCUAAGUACCCCGAGGAAAAGAAAUCAACCGAGAUUCCCCCAGUAGCGGCGAGCGAACGGGGAGCAGCCCAGAGCCUGAAUCAGUGUGUGUGUUAGUGGAAGCGUCUGGAAAGGCGCGCGAUACAGGGUGACAGCCCCGUACACAAAAAUGCACAUGCUGUGAGCUCGAUGAGUAGGGCGGGACACGUGGUAUCCUGUCUGAAUAUGGGGGGACCAUCCUCCAAGGCUAAAUACUCCUGACUGACCGAUAGUGAACCAGUACCGUGAGGGAAAGGCGAAAAGAACCCCGGCGAGGGGAGUGAAAAAGAACCUGAAACCGUGUACGUACAAGCAGUGGGAGCACGCUUAGGCGUGUGACUGCGUACCUUUUGUAUAAUGGGUCAGCGACUUAUAUUCUGUAGCAAGGUUAACCGAAUAGGGGAGCCGAAGGGAAACCGAGUCUUAACUGGGCGUUAAGUUGCAGGGUAUAGACCCGAAACCCGGUGAUCUAGCCAUGGGCAGGUUGAAGGUUGGGUAACACUAACUGGAGGACCGAACCGACUAAUGUUGAAAAAUUAGCGGAUGACUUGUGGCUGGGGGUGAAAGGCCAAUCAAACCGGGAGAUAGCUGGUUCUCCCCGAAAGCUAUUUAGGUAGCGCCUCGUGAAUUCAUCUCCGGGGGUAGAGCACUGUUUCGGCAAGGGGGUCAUCCCGACUUACCAACCCGAUGCAAACUGCGAAUACCGGAGAAUGUUAUCACGGGAGACACACGGCGGGUGCUAACGUCCGUCGUGAAGAGGGAAACAACCCAGACCGCCAGCUAAGGUCCCAAAGUCAUGGUUAAGUGGGAAACGAUGUGGGAAGGCCCAGACAGCCAGGAUGUUGGCUUAGAAGCAGCCAUCAUUUAAAGAAAGCGUAAUAGCUCACUGGUCGAGUCGGCCUGCGCGGAAGAUGUAACGGGGCUAAACCAUGCACCGAAGCUGCGGCAGCGACACUGUGUGUUGUUGGGUAGGGGAGCGUUCUGUAAGCCUGCGAAGGUGUGCUGUGAGGCAUGCUGGAGGUAUCAGAAGUGCGAAUGCUGACAUAAGUAACGAUAAAGCGGGUGAAAAGCCCGCUCGCCGGAAGACCAAGGGUUCCUGUCCAACGUUAAUCGGGGCAGGGUGAGUCGACCCCUAAGGCGAGGCCGAAAGGCGUAGUCGAUGGGAAACAGGUUAAUAUUCCUGUACUUGGUGUUACUGCGAAGGGGGGACGGAGAAGGCUAUGUUGGCCGGGCGACGGUUGUCCCGGUUUAAGCGUGUAGGCUGGUUUUCUAGGCAAAUCCGGAAAAUCAAGGCUGAGGCGUGAUGACGAGGCACUACGGUGCUGAAGCAACAAAUGCCCUGCUUCCAGGAAAAGCCUCUAAGCAUCAGGUAACAUCAAAUCGUACCCCAAACCGACACAGGUGGUCAGGUAGAGAAUACCAAGGCGCUUGAGAGAACUCGGGUGAAGGAACUAGGCAAAAUGGUGCCGUAACUUCGGGAGAAGGCACGCUGAUAUGUAGGUGAAGUCCCUCGCGGAUGGAGCUGAAAUCAGUCGAAGAUACCAGCUGGCUGCAACUGUUUAUUAAAAACACAGCACUGUGCAAACACGAAAGUGGACGUAUACGGUGUGACGCCUGCCCGGUGCCGGAAGGUUAAUUGAUGGGGUCAGCGCAAGCGAAGCUCUUGAUCGAAGCCCCGGUAAACGGCGGCCGUAACUAUAACGGUCCUAAGGUAGCGAAAUUCCUUGUCGGGUAAGUUCCGACCUGCACGAAUGGCGUAAUGAUGGCCAGGCUGUCUCCACCCGAGACUCAGUGAAAUUGAACUCGCUGUGAAGAUGCAGUGUACCCGCGGCAAGACGGAAAGACCCCGUGAACCUUUACUAUAGCUUGACACUGAACAUUGAGCCUUGAUGUGUAGGAUAGGUGGGAGGCUUUGAAGUGUGGACGCCAGUCUGCAUGGAGCCGACCUUGAAAUACCACCCUUUAAUGUUUGAUGUUCUAACGUUGACCCGUGAUCCGGGUUGCGGACAGUGUCUGGUGGGUAGUUUGACUGGGGCGGUCUCCUCCUAAAGAGUAACGGAGGAGCACGAAGGUUGGCUAAUCCUGGUCGGACAUCAGGAGGUUAGUGCAAUGGCAUAAGCCAGCUUGACUGCGAGCGUGACGGCGCGAGCAGGUGCGAAAGCAGGUCAUAGUGAUCCGGUGGUUCUGAAUGGAAGGGCCAUCGCUCAACGGAUAAAAGGUACUCCGGGGAUAACAGGCUGAUACCGCCCAAGAGUUCAUAUCGACGGCGGUGUUUGGCACCUCGAUGUCGGCUCAUCACAUCCUGGGGCUGAAGUAGGUCCCAAGGGUAUGGCUGUUCGCCAUUUAAAGUGGUACGCGAGCUGGGUUUAGAACGUCGUGAGACAGUUCGGUCCCUAUCUGCCGUGGGCGCUGGAGAACUGAGGGGGGCUGCUCCUAGUACGAGAGGACCGGAGUGGACGCAUCACUGGUGUUCGGGUUGUCAUGCCAAUGGCACUGCCCGGUAGCUAAAUGCGGAAGAGAUAAGUGCUGAAAGCAUCUAAGCACGAAACUUGCCCCGAGAUGAGUUCUCCCUGACUCCUUGAGAGUCCUGAAGGAACGUUGAAGACGACGACGUUGAUAGGCCGGGUGUGUAAGCGCAGCGAUGCGUUGAGCUAACCGGUACUAAUGAACCGUGAGGCUUAACCUU